rnacentral:piRNA from 1 species
UUGGCCCAAAGGGAUUAAUACUGUGAGAU